CAACAUGUUUAGUCUUACAAAUUAUCCCCAAUUGACCACCGAUUGAAAGAGAAAGCAAAAAGGAAAAGAGAGAAGCAGAAACAAGGAGCUGAAAUUGAAUUUCUGGAUAGGUGAGCAUGGAACUAUGUAGAGGGCACGGCUAGCUGUGGAGCUCUUACGGGAUUCCAAAGAUCAAUGUACAUGGAUGAUGACCUGUAGGGUUAUUUUGUGGGCUAUUGUUUUGAGCUUACACUCUAUUGUGUCGUAUUUUGGGGGUCCUGUCUUGUAUAACUUUUGAAAUGGCCUAUAGAUGUGUUUAUAACCUUAGAACAUAUGUGUUGGAUUAUGGUUAUAUGAUCAUUGAUUUUGAUAUAA